rnacentral:tRNA from 1 species
GCCGGUGUAGCUCAGUGGUAGAGCGGGGUCUUCAUAAGGCCAAGGUUCGCAGGUUCGAUCCCUGCCAUCGGC